GAGGGAGAGAGGCGCCGACGAAGAGAGGAAAGCAGAGUAAAAUGAAAAAAGGAAUUAGGGAUUAGGGUUACUUCACUUAGUUUUGUUAAUAUAGCUAAUCGGGUUCGGGUAACGGGUAUCCGAGCACCUAUUCCCGAACCCUACCCGAAUCCGAGACGGGUAGCAUUUUUCAAAUCCGAACCCGCCCAAAUCCGUUUUGUAAAAACCCAAAUCCGUCCUAAUAGGGUUUGGGCGGAUCGGAUACCCGCGAAAACCCGCCCGACUGACAUCCCUAUAGAGGACGUUCCCUAAUUGAUUUAAUCAUAAGGAGAGACAUGGUGGUGAUAAGCAUUUUCCAUCUCCAUAACUAAUCUAUUGAAUCAAUCAAGAGAACAUAGGUUUCAAUGAUCAAUCCAAACAACCAAAGUGGAUCCAUCUCUUCAACUAGAUCUUUCUCAUAUUGAAUUUCUCUUUUAUUUUAAUUACUUGCUGAUUUAAUUGCUUUCAGUAGUUUGCUAAUCAAAUCAAUCUCAAAACCCCCCUUUUUACUUUUAUUGCACUUUACUUUUGUUCCGCUUUC
rnacentral:lncRNA from 1 species